rnacentral:rRNA from 1 species
GACGAACGCUGGCGGCGUGCCUAAUACAUGCAAGUCGAACGAGAGCGACCGGUGCUUGCACUGGUCAAUCUAGUGGCGAACGGGUGAGUAACAUGUGGGUAACCUGCCCAUCAGAGGGGGAUAACAUCCGGAAACGGAUGCUAAAACCGCAUAGGUCUUCGAACCGCAUGGUUUGAAGAGGAAAAGAGGCGCAAGCUUCUGCUGAUGGAUGGACCCGCGGUGCAUUAGCUAGUUGGUGAGGUAACGGCUCACCAAGGCCGUGAUGCAUAGCCGACCUGAGAGGGUGAUCGGCCACAUUGGGACUGAGACACGGCCCAAACUCCUACGGGAGGCAGCAGUAGGGAAUCUUCCGCAAUGGACGCAAGUCUGACGGAGCAACGCCGCGUGAGUGAAGAAGGUUUUCGGAUCGUAAAACUCUGUUGUUAGAGAAGAACAAGUGCUAGAGUAACUGUUAGCGCCUUGACGGUAUCUAACCAGAAAGCCACGGCUAACUACGUG